UGGGGAAUUUUGGACAAUGGGCGCAAGCCUGAUCCAGCAAUGCCGCGUGCAGGAUGAAGGCCUUCGGGUUGUAAACUGCUUUUGUACGGAACGAAAAGCCUCUCUCUAAUACAGGGGGGUGAUGACGGUACCGUAAGAAUAAGCACCGGCUAACUACGUGCCAGCAGCCGCGGUAAUACGUAGGGUGCAAGCGUUAAUCGGAAUUACUGGGCGUAAAGCGUGCGCAGGCGGUUUUGUAAGACAGUGGUGAAAUCCCCGGGCUCAACCUGGGAACUGCCAUUGUGACUGCAAGGCUGGAGUGCGGCAGAGGGGGGAUGGAAUUCCGCGUGUAGCAGUGAAAUGCGUAGAUAUGCGGAGGAACACCGAUGGCGAAGGCAAUCCCCUGGGCCUGCACUGACGCUCAUGCACGAAAGCGUGGGGAGCAAACAGGAUUAGAUACCCUGGUAGUCC
rnacentral:rRNA from 1 species